CCUUCGGGACCGUGAGACAGGUGGUGCAUGGUUGUCGUCAGCUCGUGUCGUGAGAUGUUGGGUUAAGUCCCGCAACGAGCGCAACCCUUGUCUAUAGUAGCCAGCAGUAAGAUGGGAACUCUAUUGAGACUGCCGGGGACAACCCGGAGGAAGGUGGGGAUGACGUCAAAUCCUCAUGCCCCUUAUGAUCUGGGCUACACACGUCCUACAAUGGCGUAAACAAAGGGAAGCGACCCCGCGAGGUGAGCAAACCUCAAAAAUACCGUCCCAGUUCCGACUGUAGUCUGCAAACCGACUACACGAAGCUGGAAUCGCUAGUAAUCGCAGAUCAGAAUGCUGCGGUGAAUACGUUCCCGGGUCUUGUA
rnacentral:rRNA from 1 species